AGAAUGUUGUUGCGAUAGACCCUGCAUGAAAAACACCAGGGAAUCUGUAUUUAAGUGACCUUAAUAUUAUGCGUAAACCUAAGUGUGCAUUUGUAGGCGGUGUCGAAAUGGGUCUAUAGCUCUGCCUGAACUGUCGUCCAAUUGGUUUACAAGUCCGGCUGAAGUGGCAGGCCAUCAAAAACUGUACAGUGUGACUGAUUCGGAGACGGCCCUCAACACUCGCCCAGUCGUGUCGAGAGGAUCGGUGUCUUUGCAGAUUACACGGAAUUGAGCACCCGGGCCAGACUGACACUUUCCGGAGCCUGCCCUAGACGGAACUCGAGCCGAGGAAUCAUAGGUCCAGGCGGUGUCGAAAUGGGUCUAUAGCUCUGCCUGAACUGUCGUCCAAUUGGUUUACAAGUCCGGCUGAAGUGGCAGGCCAUCAAAAACUGUACAGUGUGACUGAUUCGGAGACGGCCCUCAACACUCGCCCAGUCGUGUCGAGAGGAUCGGUGUCUUUGCAGAUUACACGGAAUUGAGCACCCGGGCCAGACUGACACUUUCCGGAGCCUGCCCUAGACGGAACUCGAGCCGAGGAAUCAUAGGUCCAGGCGGUGUCGAAAUGGGUCUAUAGCUCUGCCUGAACUGUCGUCCAAUUGGUUUACAAGUCCGGCUGAAGUGGCAGGCCAUCAAAAACUGUACAGUGUGACUGAUUCGGAGACGGCCCUCAACACUCGCCCAGUCGUGUCGAGAGGAUCGGUGUCUUUGCAGAUUACACGGAAUUGAGCACCCGGGCCAGACUGACACUUUCCGGAGCCUGCCCUAGACGGAACUCGAGCCGAGGAAUCAUAGGUCCAGGCGGUGUCGAAAUGGGUCUAUAGCUCUGCCUGAACUGUCGUCCAAUUGGUUUACAAGUCCGGCUGAAGUGGCAGGCCAUCAAAAACUGUACAGUGUGACUGAUUCGGAGACGGCCCUCAACACUCGCCCAGUCGUGUCGAGAGGAUCGGUGUCUUUGCAGAUUACACGGAAUUGAGCACCCGGGCCAGACUGACACUUUCCGGAGCCUGCCCUAGACGGAACUCGAGCCGAGGAAUCAUAGGUCCAGGCGGUGUCGAAAUGGGUCUAUAGCUCUGCCUGAACUGUCGUCCAAUUGGUUUACAAGUCCGGCUGAAGUGGCAGGCCAUCAAAAACUGUACAGUGUGACUGAUUCGGAGACGGCCCUCAACACUCGCCCAGUCGUGUCGAGAGGAUCGGUGUCUUUGCAGAUUACACGGAAUUGAGCACCCGGGCCAGACUGACACUUUCCGGAGCCUGCCCUAGACGGAACUCGAGCCGAGGAAUCAUAGGUCCAGGCGGUGUCGAAAUGGGUCUAUAGCUCUGCCUGAACUGUCGUCCAAUUGGUUACAAGUCCGGCUGAAGUGGCAGGCCAUCAAAAACUGUACAGUGUGACU